GAUGAACGCUGGCGGCGUGCCUAAUACGUGCAAGUCGAGCGAACAGACGAGGAGCUUGCUCCUCUGAUGUUAGCGGCGGACGGGUGAGUAACACGUGGAUAACCUACCUAUAAGACUGGGAUAACUUCGGGAAACCGGAGCUAAUACCGGAUAACAUGUUGAACCGCAUGGUUCAACAGUGAAAGACGGUCUUGCUGUCACUUAUAGAUGGAUCCGCGCCGCAUUAGCUAGUUGGUAAGGUAACGGCUUACCAAGGCAACGAUGCGUAGCCGACCUGAGAGGGUGAUCGGCCACACUGGAACUGAGACACGGUCCAGACUCCUACGGGAGGCAGCAGUAGGGAAUCUUCCGCAAUGGGCGAAAGCCUGACGGAGCAACGCCGCGUGAGUGAAGAAGGUCUUCGGAUCGUAAAACUCUGUUAUUAGGGAAGAACAAAUGUGUAAGUAACUAUGCACGUCUUGACGGUACCUAAUCAGAAAGCCACGGCUAACUACGUG
rnacentral:rRNA from 1 species